rnacentral:rRNA from 1 species
GNAACNUGCUUUUGUCGGAACGAAAAGGCCCUGGUGAACAACCGGGGUUGCUGACGGUACCGUAAGAAUAAGCACCGGCUAACUACGUGCCAGCAGCCGCGGUAAUACGUAGGGUGCGAGCGUUAAUCGGAAUUACUGGGCGUAAAGCGUGCGCAGNCGGACAUGCAAGACANAUGUGAAAUCCCCGGGNUCAACCUGGGAACUGCAUAUGUGACUGUAUGACUGGAGUANNGCAGAGGGGGAUGNAAUUCCGCGUGUAGCANUNAAAUGCGUAGAUAUGCGNAGGAACACCGAUGGCNGAAGGCAAUCCCCUGGGCCAGUACUGACGCUCAUGCACGAAAGCGUGGGGAGCAAACAGGAUUAGAUACCCUGGUAGGCC